UCUAACAUUGUCCGUGAGUGCAGUAAAGAGAUAAACAAAAACACAAACAAAAAGAAACAUUAGAAACUUCGUAAAAAUAAAGGUUGAAACCGGGACCGGGGACGCAUUCACAGUUUUACCAAGGAAUACAGUGUGUGCCGCUUUAACAUAAUUACACAACUUGCGAUUCCGUGUUACCCAUUAACCUUGCGCAGAUGCCUCAUUCACCAGAAUAGAUACCUAUGUGUAAAUUUGCCUUUUUGAACAUGAUGCGGUAUGCACGUGGACGUGGACAAUACGAAGGACAGUUUUGGAGCGAAAUCGGUGCGAAGAAAGAUAUUCUCAGUUUUUCAAAAAAAGUAUGCCCUGCUGAGUUUUGAAGAAAGGGGGAAUGAGUGCGUCGUAUUUUUAAAAACUUCCCGAAAAUAGGAUGGCUAAAAAGUUUGUGAAAGAUUUGUUUGCAGUUAAUGGACAUUCUUGUGGAGUAGAUGCAUAUUUUCAUCCAUUUGGCAAAUUUGUGUUUCAUGCUUCUCAUAAACGACUGGUUUCAGUGAGGAUGUGCCAUGUUGCAUUUAGUUGUAAGUGAAUUAAGUCGCGUAUGGGUUUCCACCUUAAUGUGUUCAAAUAGAAUUGGUUACAACUGGACCAUUAGUGGGACAAUAUAAUUUUCGCGAUUUCGCGGAUGCCGCGAAGUCCGUGAAAUUUGUCCUACACUGAGAAUUUUGAUCAAUCGGUGAAAUUUUGAAUAUUCAAAGAAAUGUCUCUAAUGUAAUUCUACAAUAUUUUUUUUAUGUUUUCAAACGCAUUUCUUGAAUUGUAAUACCUUGUUAAGCUAUUUAUUUUGAAAUUUGCAUAUUUUUUUAUUUGUUCACCCUCUACAACCCAACCCAACAUCUAGACGGGCUUUGAUCUUAAAAAUGGCCAAAAAUCAAUUUUCCAACCAAUUUUUGAUCCUCAAAAGCAUUUGAAAGAAGAACUCUAAAAAUUAAAGAAAUUUUUGGGGUUGGAAGUUUGACUUGUUUUAUGUGCCAAUCAAGGGUCCUGAUUUUCGGUUUAUUGAACGAAAACCACUCACUCAUCGCCUAUCCAUUCGUCGCCUAUUCUAACCCGUUAGCAUUCAUGAGCGAAUGAUACUCGCAAGCAGCCAGCGAGUGGCCCGAACUGUUCACUCAGCGAACAAAUACAUCGUGAAAAUAUUUGUCUACUUCGUCGCUCGACGACACUCACACACUACCAUGCUCAGCGAAGAUCCAUUCUCACAAAAUGCCAGCGCGGCAGUCUUUUUGUCUUCACGCCCUCAGUUUGCCAUCAAUUUGAUUUUUUCUUGGUGGAAGUUUCUUUGAAUGGUGUCUAUAAUGUUAUGAAAUCAAAAUAAAUGCACAAUUUAAUUGAUAACAUUGAAUUUAGGCAACCCAAAUCAAUGAAUAUAACGCAGCGCAUCAGAGAAAAAAUGUGUUCAGUUCAGAGUGAUCGGCGACGUUCGGCCUGCCUGAGCCGUUCGGAGACUGAGCCGAUCAGAGAGAGAAGGAGAGUAGAAGAGAGAGUGUCCGGGAGCGAAUGAUGUGAAAGUGACAAACGGUAGGAAUUCAUCAGGGCAGUAUCGCGUCGCUUGCUAUUUGUGCUCGCGAAUGGAGUGGUUGAUUUUGAGCAAUCAGGACCCUUGGUGCCAAUGUUUUUAAAUAUUUUAUUUAAGAGGUCAACUUUGGCUGUGUUUUUUACUAACAUUUCCUAUAUUUUAAGUAAAAAGAAGUAUGAGGUAAUUUUUGUAGUGUCCCAGAAUAUGCCUCUCUCUCUCAUUUUUUUACAAUUUAAAUUAUAAUGUUGCCAUUCUAUACACGGAACAAAAUCCGGUCAGCGAAUCUGAAACAAAAUCGCGACAAAUUCGGAAACUUCUCUUGUUUUCGAAAUCAUCGAGAAUGUUGUCGAUUCUGGAGAAAUUGUUUUCGAUAACGAAACAAAUUGUUUCCAAAAUCGCAAACAUCGUGUUUUCGGUGUAUUUUUCUGCCUUUGCUCGCCGCAGCAGGCCGCAGCCAAUGCGUUACGCGACGUCAAAGUCAGCUGGACGCGCUCUGCAAGCAAAAUCAAAACAAACAAAAAUCGCGCAAAAAUAUCCAAUACUCCGUGUGGAGCAGGUUUCGGAGAUUGUGGUCCCAUAGAAUCCGACCACGUUUACCCGGACAAGAAGCUGUCCGUGAAGGCGGCGGGGAGGAAGGGUGCUAACAGUUCUUCUCGGUUCUACGCGGAGCUGACUCCGAGUCGAAAAGGCGCAUCAGAACCGCCGGAAGAUGCUGAAUCUGUUUUAGGUGAUCCAUUUUCUGACGCCCAGUUUGUGCGUACGGAUCGUAAAGUAGACCAGUUGACCGAGUGUUAAAUGCUGACCUCAAAAUAAGCAGCACAGUCUACGGCUCGCAGCUGAACCGUGAGUUCGGCAAACACCUUCACAGAUCCGACUGCUGGCGGAGAUUCUGGGGACUUGUUCCAGGCGGACGGUCUUCUAGUGGAGGCCACUCCGCUCAAGUCGAUUCUCGAGGUGUCGGCGGUCUACCUCCAGGACUUCUGGCGGUACGCGAAUCCGCUCAAGGAACGUGCCAGCUCGUUGCGCGACGCUGGAAAUCAACCAGAUCGACGACCCGAGCACGCUGCACCGGUCUCAGCACCUCUAUCCGGGUGGCCCCGCCGCCGACGUCACCGAACACGAGAAGAACCUGUACAAUCAUUACCAAAAACAUAGUUGCCGAUACUUUGGCAAUUAGAGCCACCUUCUUCUCAAACUGCUAGCACCGGGAUUCACGUCACGGGGAGUAACAUGCCAACGGCGGCACCGACGCCCAGCAGUAACCUGCUGCCCCGCGGACAUCCAGGACGACCAGAUCAGAACAAUCGACGACUGAUUGAAUCAAAAUUCCGAAGUAAAACCACUCACACAAUUGCUUUGAUUUUAUUUUGAGUCAUGAAUAAAUAAAUAAAAACAUUGAAACCUU